UACAGAGGGGGCAAGCGUUGUUCGGAAUUACUGGGCGUAAAGGGCGCGUAGGCGGCCUGUUAAGUCGAACGUGAAAUCCCCGGGCUCAACCUGGGAACUGCAUCCGAAACUGCCUUGCUCGAGUAUGGGAGAGGGAAGUGGAAUUUCCGGUGUAGCGGUGAAAUGCGUAGAUAUCGGAAGGAACAUCAGUGGCGAAGGCGACUUCCUGGACCAAUACUGACGCUCAGGUGCGAAAGCGUGGGGAGCAAACAGG
rnacentral:rRNA from 1 species